AGUGAAUAGAUACCCAGGUAGUCCCAGCUGUAAACGAUGCGCGUUAGGUGUAUCGGUGACCACGAGUCACCGAGGUGCCGAAGGGAAACCGUGAAACGUGCCGCCUGGGAAGUACGGUCGCAAGGCUGAAACUUAAAGGAAUUGGCGGGGGAGCACCACAACAGGUGGAGCCUGCGGUUUAAUCGGACUCAACGCCGGGAAGCUCACCGGAUAAGACAGCUGAAUGAUAGCCGGGUUGAAGACUCUGCUUGACUAGCUGAGAGGAGGUGCAUGGCCGUCGUCAGUUCGUACUGUGAAGCAUCCUGUUAAGUCAGGCAACGAGCGAGACCCACGCCAACAGUUGCCAGCAUGUCCUCCGGGAUGGUGGGGACACUGUUGGGACCGCCUCUGCUAAAGAGGAGGAAGGAAUGGGCAACGGUAGGUCAGCAUGCCCCGAAUUAUCCGGGCUACACGCGGGCUACAAUGGUCAGGACAAUGGGUAUCAACACCGAAAGGUGAA
rnacentral:rRNA from 1 species